UCCUUGAGGGAUAGCUCAGUCGGUAGAGAAUGAGACUGUUAAUCUCAGGCUUGUGGGUUCGAGCCACACAUUGAGUGAA